rnacentral:rRNA from 1 species
CGGAGGAUCCAAGCGUUAUCCGGAAUCAUUGGGUUUAAAGGGUCCGUAGGCGGUUUGGUAAGUCAGUGGUGAAAGCCCUUCGCUCAACGGAGGAACGGCCAUUGAUACUGCCAGACUUGAAUUACUGGGAAGUAACUAGAAUAUGUAGUGUAGCGGUGAAAUGCUUAGAUAUUACAUGGAAUACCAAUUGCGAAGGCAGGUUACUACCGGUGGAUUGACGCUGGUGGACGAAAGCGUGGGGAGCGAACAGGAUUAGAUACCCUGGUAGUCCACGCCGUAAACGAUGGAUACUAGCUGUUGGGAGCAAUCUCAGUGGCUAAGCGAAAGUGAUAAGUAUCCCACCUGGGGAGUACGUUCGCAAGAAUG